AGAGUUUGAUCCUGGCUCAGAACGAACGCUGGCGGCAUGCCUAACACAUGCAAGUCGAACGUGAUCCAGGCUUCGGCCUGGUGAAAGUGGCAGACGGGUGAGUAACGCGUGGGAACCUGCCCUGUGGUAGGGAAUAACCGUGGGAAACUGCGGCUAAUACCCUAUGAGUCCUUCGGGAGAAAGAUUUAUCGCCAUAGGAGGGGCCCGCGUCGGAUUAGGUAGUUGGUGGGGUAACGGCCUACCAAGCCUUCGAUCCGUAGCUGGUCUGAGAGGAUGAUCAGCCACACUGGGACUGAGAUACGGCCCAGACUCCUACGGGAGGCAGCAGUGGGGAAUAUUGGACAAUGGGGGCAACCCUGAUCCAGCAAUGCCGCGUGGAUGAUGAAGGCCUUCGGGUUGUAAAGUCCUUUCGGCGGGGAAGAUGAUGACGGUACCCGCAGAAGAAGCCCCGGCUAACUUCGUGCCAGCAGCCGCGGUAAUACGAAGGGGGCUAGCGUUGUUCGGAAUUACUGGGCGUAAAGGGCGCGUAGGCUGUGCUGUAAGUCAGGCGUGAAAGCCCCGGGCUCAACCUGGGAAUUGCGCUUGAUACUGCGGCGCUGGAAGGUGGGAGAGGAUGGCGGAAUUCCCAGUGUAGAGGUGAAAUUCGUAGAUAUUGGGAAGAACACCGGUGGCGAAGGCGGCCAUCUGGCCCACAUUUGACGCUGAGGCGCGAAAGCGUGGGGAGCAAACAGGAUUAGAUACCCUAGUAGUCC
rnacentral:rRNA from 1 species